GGAUUUUGAGUCAUAAUUCUAACACCAUGGCAUACUCGUAUGGUAAAUACCCCUUCAUCUUCAUCUUCAUCUUCAUUUGGUGGCUAUGGCUUGUGCAUGUCGGCCAAAGUAUUCCAACAAAGUUUAGCGGAGUUGAUUUCUCUAAUCUGAGUAAUUAUGGACGGUGAGCAGGAAAUUAGAAUAGCAUGCAAAGCAGCAGCAUUCUUUUUCCUCCAAGCCUGGAAUUCAACCUCACCCUUUUAGGGAUUAGGAGGCUCGGUGUUUGCUUCAACUACCUCUUGAGGAUUAGGAGGCUUGGUGUUUGCUUGAACUUUGUCAACUAUGUCCCAUGUAUCAUGAGCUAUUAAAUAGUUUUUAAUACAAGCACUCCAGUUUUGAUAGUUAUCUCCUGUCAAAACUAAUGAUUGGGGAACUAUACUUCUUUCCACACUUAAUUUCUCUGCUUUGCUCUGCACCAAUACAAGGGAGAGAUGAAGAAUAUAGUGAAAAAAAGAUUACUGUAUAAAUUAAAAUGGAAGAAAAAAAAUGUAAUAAAUUAAGCGAAAGCCGUAAAAUAAGCUUAAGGAUCCUGAUGGUAGCAGCAACUAAGUAAUCUCACCUUCUUUUAAUUUCCGUGCUUUUUUUUUUUAAAAAAAAAAUCUCACCAAUGGGAACACUCAAAUAAUAAACAACUUUUCUUUUUUGAGAAUAAAAAAAAUAAUAUCAUUGACCAAUCACGAUUAACAGGAACCUCUAAGAACAUAAUAUGAGAAACAGUGGAUGGCAACUCUUCCAUCCAUAUAGCUUCAGCUGAAGAAAUUCAUCACCGACUCUCUCGC
rnacentral:misc_RNA from 1 species